UACGUAGGGGGCAAGCGUUGUCCGGAAUCAUUGGGCGUAAAGCGCGCGUAGGCGGCCCGGUAAGUCCGCUCUGAAAGUCCAGGGCUCAACCCUGGAAAGCGGGUGGAUACUGGCGGGCUAGAAUCCGGUAGAGGCGAGUGGAAUUCCUGGUGUAGCGGUGGAAUGCGCAGAUAUCAGGAGGAACACCAAUAGCGAAGGCAGCUCGCUGGGACGGUAUUGACGCUAAGGCGCGAAAGCGUGGGGAGCAAACAGG
rnacentral:rRNA from 1 species